GCCCCUGUAGUUCAACGGAUAGAACACAAGUUUUCUAAACUUGGAAUAGGGGUCCGAUUCCUCUCAGGGGCA
rnacentral:tRNA from 1 species